rnacentral:rRNA from 1 species
AUUGAACUUUGGCGGCAGGCUUAACACAUGCAAGUCGAACGAUGACUCUCUAGCUUGCUAGAGAAGAUUAGGGCGGACGGGUGAGUAACAUUUAGGAAUCUGCCUAGUAGUGGGGGAUAGCUCGGGGAAACUCGAAUUAAUACCGCAUACGACCUACGGGUGAAAGGGGGCGCAAGCUCUUGCUAUUAGAUGAGCCUAAAUCAGAUUAGCUAGUUGGUGGGGUAAAGGCCCACCAAGGCGACGAUCUGUAACUGGUCUGAGAGGAUGAUCAGUCACACCGGAACUGAGACACGGUCCGGACUCCUACGGGAGGCAGCAGUGGGGAAUAUUGGACAAUGGGGGCAACCCUGAUCCAGCCAUGCCGCGUGUGUGAAGAAGGCCUUUUGGUUGUAAAGCACUUUAAGCAGGGAGGAGAGGCUAAUGGUUAAUACCCAUUAGAUUAGACGUUACCUGCAGAAUAAGCACCGGCUAACUCUGUGCCAGCAGCCGCGGUAAUACAGAGGGUGCGAGCGUUAAUCGGAAUUACUGGGCGUAAAGCGAGUGUAGGUGGCUCAUUAAGUCACAUGUGAAAUCCCCGGGCUUAACCUGGGAACCGCAUGUGAUACUGGUGGUGCUAGAAUAUGUGAGAGGGAAGUAGAAUUCCAGGUGUAGCGGUGAAAUGCGUAGAGAUCUGGAGGAAUACCGAUGGCGAAGGCAGCUCCCUGGCAUAAUAUUGACACUGAGAUUCGAAAGCGUGGGUAGCAAACAGGAUUAGAUACCCUGGUAGUCCACGCCGUAAACGAUGUCUACUAGCCGUUGGGGUCCUUGAGACUUUAGUGGCGCAGUUAACGCGAUAAGUAGACCGCCUGGGGAGUACGGCCGCAAGGUUAAAACUCAAAUGAAUUGACGGGGGCCCGCACAAGCGGUGGAGCAUGUGGUUUAAUUCGAUGCAACGCGAAGAACCUUACCUGGUCUUGACAUAGUGAGAAUCUUUCAGAGAUGAGAGAGUGCCUUCGGGAAUUCACAUACAGGUGCUGCAUGGCUGUCGUCAGCUCGUGUCGUGAGAUGUUGGGUUAAGUCCCGCAACGAGCGCAACCCUUUUCCUUAUUUGCCAGCGGGUUAAGCCGGGAACUUUAAGGAUACUGCCAGUGACAAACUGGAGGAAGGCGGGGACGACGUCAAGUCAUCAUGGCCCUUACGACCAGGGCUACACACGUGCUACAAUGGUAGGUACAGAGGGUUGCUACACAGCGAUGUGAUGCUAAUCUCAAAAAGCCUAUCGUAGUCCGGAUUGGAGUCUGCAACUCGACUCCAUGAAGUCGGAAUCGCUAGUAAUCGCAGAUCAGAAUGCUGCGGUGAAUACGUUCCCGGGCCU